GGGACUGUAGCUCAGACUGGGAGAGCGCUACGCUGAAGACGUAGGUGUCCGGAGUUCAAAUCUCCGCAGUCCCACCA
rnacentral:tRNA from 1 species